rnacentral:rRNA from 1 species
AUGCAAAGGAACUCCAGGAAGGCCAACAACUCUCUGCAGAUGCUCAUAUGCUGGGAAAUUUGGAACGAAAAGAACGCUAGGGUCUUCCGCUCCAAAGCAUCACUUCCUUAUAGGGUGGUCGCGACGAGUAAGGAUGAGGCAAAGACUUGGGUUAUUGUCAGGGCUAGAUUGUUGGGAAACUUAAUUCCGGAAGAGUGA